AUUUGCUCCUUACACAAAUUUAAACAAAAUCAAUAUGAUUAGAUUUCCAUUGAAACUCAUCAUCUGUGUGAGCUGCCUCUCAGGUUCUUUGAUAUCUAAAGAUGUUCAUCAAAGUCCUGCUGAUGUGUUGUGUUUACCUGAAGAGAAUGUCACUCUAACCUGCAAACACAGCAUCCAAAGCUACAAUACAAUACUGUGGUAUCAGAGGACACAUGAAGACACCAAUUUGAAACUCAUCGGAUAUGUUUUUGGUACCAGGCCGAAAUAUGAGGGGAAUUAUGAAGGUAGUUUUACAGUGAGUGGAAAUGGAGAGUCAUCAGUUUCUCUACAAAUUCCCAAAGCUACCCAAGCGCUGCACACUGCUCUGUACUUCUGUGCAGCUUCUUACACACAGUGUCACACACGUCCUCUCCUCAAAACAAAAACCUGUCUCUAA